UCUCACUAAAAUGAUGUUAGUUAAAUUUUGCUUCAUUAGUUUCAUUGGGUAAAUUAUCUUUUUUCAGUGGCCUAGGCUGAAGCAUUUAAGGCUAAAAAUCUUCAGAGCAUUUCCUCUCUGCCCAGCUUGAUAUCUUUUUAAGAAAAUAGAGGCCCAGAACAGAACAUGUGAUUAAAGUUAUAAAUGUGGCCACUUUAAUAUAUUACUUCUAGGCUAUUACUUAGUGUAUACUUCUCUCAUUCCUUUUGUCCUCAAAAUCUUCUCCCUCCUGUUUUAAAUGUAUUUACUCACUACCUUAUUUUCAAU
rnacentral:lncRNA from 1 species